AUGUUGUUCACUCACUUUGGGUUUGUUUUUGCAUGUUUCAGUGUAUGGAAAGCAUGCGUUGUCUGCAACACCGUUGCUGUGUUUUGGAUUUCAAGUAGCAAGCUGCUGCUGAUGUUUCUACCUGCAUUUUGUGAGAGAAUUUCAUCUAAAGUGAGUCAGAGCCUUCUUCAAGCUAAUGAGACAAUUGACAAAGCUGUAAAAUCUGUCUUUUAUACCAAAUGCAAUUGAGCAUUUAUUCUGCAAAGAAGCCCUGCUCCCUUAGCUGUCAAAUAAUAGCAAGUACGCCUGAGCAACAGUGGAGCAAUAGAAAAGUUUGCAGCACGCCACAUUUUUAAUAAUUUUGUUUGUGCAAUUCCAUUAAUUAGUCAAGUACAUUGGGGAGGAAAUGUGAACGCUUAGUGUGGUAUACCGUGGUAAAAACAUAGUCCAGAAAAGAACAAUGUGCUAAAUCAUGGACAGGAAGAGUAAAACACGACACCAACUAUGGAGGCCUGUAUAUGUCAAGAGCACAUUUCAGAACAACAAGAAAAAGUGCUUGUGACUUUAAGUGAAGUAAGACUGAAGGUCCUGUUUUCGUUCACACAUUAAGGAUUGGAGGGCAAGAAGGAAGCAAUCUGUGGAAGGUCUCUCACUGGCCACAAAAAGCAUAUCUGAGCAACACAAUCCAGACACUCAUUCUGAUGUCACAGAGACAUUCUCUUAUCUAGCCAAAUAAAAUAUUGUACAUGUUAAACCAGCUUGUUAGACAUGAAUUAGGGCUUUCAAAAUGUAGUAUGACUGUAAUAAUCUGCUGGUGGGACUAGUUGUGGUUCUAUGAUCCUGCUUGUUGGACAAGAGGCAGCUGAGAUAGAGUAACAUCUGGGCACAGGCACACACGCAGGGAACUGAGCAGGCAAGUGUGUGGAGCCCAUUGGUGGGGUAGUACUAUAGCUAGCUAAGUCCUGAGUCCUUGUUAGCUAGGACUCAAGGAAGCGUAGCAGUGUGCAUAGGAAACCAGGAGAUAAGCACAGUCUGAGAUCGUGGUAGAGCAGACGGGAGUCAAAUCCGGUGGUGAGACACUAACACACUCCAAAACGCAGAGGGGAAUUCAAGGGAUUGGUCAAGAAGAAUCAAGGGCCAGACCCAGGAAGCUCAGUAAAGCACAGAUCAAAGCAAAGGGCAGGGCCAGGAAAUGCAGUAAUAAUAACAAACAGGGUCCGAAGCCAGGAAACCGCAGAGAAGUAUCUAGCACAGGGGAUGAUCCGAGAGAUGAGGGGCAAAACAAAGAAUAGGUCAGGAUUAACAAGGUUAAAGAAACUCGGGAACAAGACGAAGGGUUCAGAGACGAGAUAUUCUGUCAGAUAUGAGUUUUUAUCUUCUGGAUCGCCUGAAAUGGGAGUGGUUGUAAAUCAUCUCCAAGUGAUCCAGGUCAUCUGUCAAUUGGCUUCCAUGGAAACCAGUGCUGGGAGAUGGGUUGGACAGUGAUGUAAAUCGCUGCUGUGUCAAUACCAGCUCACCCCGCUGUUAAUCAGUGAGGGGAGAGCAUGACAACAAGUAUCAGAUUUGAACCUAGCACGUUCAACUUGUGUUCUGGUCUAUCAAAGAAUUGAUGUUUCAAUGGCAUCUGCUGGUUUUUGUUGAGGAAAAAUAUUAUAACAAUAAAGAGCAGGAUCCAUCCAGUGUCAAGCUGUGAUAUUUCUGGUGUACCACCUGGAUUUCCCUUCCCUAGAUUUGAAUUUGUCUCAAAUUCUGUAACCUAAUGUCAUUCUAUAGGGUGGAGUCACAGCUCCCAAUCUAAAGGACCAAGUGCUGUGUUAGUCUGGUCCCUUCACCUGAGCCCUGUUCGCUAUGGUUAACCCUACCAGGAGCCGAAGCCCUGCUGGAAAACUUCCCAUGAUUCCCAAGGCACAUAAGACUCAUGCUCCACAUGGAGGUUUCUUUAUAUUUGCAUCUUUUUCCGUUCAGCUUUUUCAUCUAUUAGGUCAACACACCAAUGCUGAAAAUUGGUGAAUGUUUUAAAAAUAUCUAAACAUGCAUAUUUUUUCAUUACAGGAUAAUAGGGGUGAAAUGGUGCUUUAGAGUUAUAAGGUCUAUAUACUGUAAUCUAUAUACUAUAUACUAUAGAAUAUAAUGAAAAGGCUAUAAAGUCUUAUCAUUCCUUGCAUGUUUACAGCCAUUACAGAUGUUGCAAGUUUGAGUACUGAAAGCAAUGGACAUGAUUAAUGCUUGACUUUAAUUGCAUAUUAAAAGGCCUAUCCAUGCCAUAUGCAGAGUUGUAAAUGUUUAUUCUUCCUGGUAUUUUAUCUAAAUUAUCCUUUCAGGAAAAAGAUACUUAAAUCGCCCUUUCACAGAUAGAAUAUUGGAUUUUCUAAAAGUCAAUGAGAAGCUGCUCAUUAAAUUGCAUGUAUACAGCCUUCUACGGGUAAUUAUGAGCCUUACAGCUUACUUGAUUUACAACUACUCUCAUUUAAAAUUAUAAUUUCACAUGUACUCUGCUGGAUUUAAUGUUUUAUACAAGAUGUAAAUAUUUUGGAAAAAUAUGUAAGAAUAAUUUUGCUUUGACCAAAAUUAUUCCUUUAAGUGUUUUUUUUUUCCCCUCACAAUUAUGAAAAAGUAUGCUGAGAUUUAAGUUUAAUAAAGACAAAUGUACGGAGCUCUGGGUGAUUUAUACAGACAAAAACCUAUUGUGAAGAUUAAUUUCAGCUAGCUGAAUAUACCAGUGUCUGGACAUUAGCAUAUAAAGUAUAUAAAUGCUUUACUUUGCAAAAUGCUUUAAAAGCAAAAGUACCUUGAAGCACUCUCCCAGCAACACAGCUCCCUGGUUCUUUCAUUCCAGCACAAAUUAACAGCAGACUGCCCGGCAGUAGCUCAGAGCACUAAGUCUUCCAAAUUGCCAAACUUAAAGUACAGCCAACUGUAGAUCUAGACUGAACUUGUGAAUAUUAGGUUUAGAUGCACAAUAUAAUUUUUAUUUUAAAAUAUUUUUCCAUCCCUUGGAAAUAAGGCAACACAAUACCAUUCUCUGUCAAGUUAUCUUCCAGGAAUUCAGUCAUCAAAGAUCAUUAAAGGGAAGAGUUUGGACGAAAUAAUUUAAUUAUUUGUUUUUUUCAGGAGUUAAGAAAGGGGGAGGUCACCAAGUUCAGAAAUAAAGGAAAUCGGUAAAGGGGGAUCGGUACAGCAUGAAAUCUAUCCGGAUACAGGAGCCAUUUCUCAGCUGCCAGGCAGCUCUGAUCAACAUUAAAAACCAGCACGAAAUUUGUGAUAGUUUUCCAGAUUCUGUGCAAGGAUGCACCUCAAGAUGCACUUGACUCAUUCCCAGAUCAAAAACUGGGAUAUCACACGUGGCAGACUAGCACAGCAAACAGUCAGGCAGAACGUCGGCAAUUAGCUAAAUUAAAAACAAAUCACAUUUCCCCCAGUUAGGUCUUGCUGACAUACUCGUUUUAAAUAAACCUCGUGUAUAAAUAAAUUGCAAACUAACAAGCAAACAUAUGACUCCUGUCUGGAUCACCUAGCGUACAGUGCAGGAAGAUUUUCUGAGGUGUCUUUGCGCCGAGCGUGAACUCCUGUCAAACCGCAAUCGUUUACAGCGGACCUAAUUGACGGAUCAGCCUUCUCUUCAUCUUGGCAUCUCCCGAGGUGUCACCGGCUGUCAUCAAGCAGACAGACGUGGGGAAGAAUCCGAAACCACGGAGCUGCACUCUCCAUCGGUACAGCGACUCUGCCCCGCUGUUCAGACACUCCUCUCCAGCUGAGCGGGAAAGAACUUCUCGCUCUUCAACAGAAGGAACGGCUGUUACUUCAUCCCGACAGCCCCUUGUAUAACAGCUUUAACUGAUUGCAAUUUUUCUACAGAAAACAGAGCAUGUUGAAAGGGCUGCUUAUUUAUUUCACCAUUUCUUGUGAUGAAAUAUUAAAACACAUUUUAAUGGGAGAGAAGCUCUCAUGACGUCCCUUUCAUGUAUUCACGUACUUUCUGAUUUAUUUACAGUGAAUAAUUGGUUUUUAGGGCAGUCGGAAACUUC
rnacentral:lncRNA from 1 species